GCGGGUGUGGCGGAAUUGGUAGACGCACCAGAUUUAGGUUCUGGCGAGCUCAGCUCGUGGGGGUUCAAGUCCCUUCACCCGCACCA
rnacentral:tRNA from 1 species